ACUCCUACGGGAGGCAGCAGUAGGGAAUCUUCGGCAAUGGACGGAAGUCUGACCGAGCAACGCCGCGUGAGUGAAGAAGGUUUUCGGAUCGUAAAGCUCUGUUGUAAGAGAAGAACGAGUGUGAGAGUGGAAAGUUCACACUGUGACGGUAUCUUACCAGAAAGGGACGGCUAACUACGUGCCAGCAGCCGCGGUAAUACGUAGGUCCCGAGCGUUGUCCGGAUUUAUUGGGCGUAAAGCGAGCGCAGGCGGUUAGAUAAGUCUGAAGUUAAAGGCUGUGGCUUAACCAUAGUACGCUUUGGAAACUGUUUAACUUGAGUGCAAGAGGGGAGAGUGGAAUUCCAUGUGUAGCGGUGAAAUGCGUAGAUAUAUGGAGGAACACCGGUGGCGAAAGCGGCUCUCUGGCUUGUAACUGACGCUGAGGCUCGAAAGCGUGGGGAGCAAACAGGAUUAGAUACCCUGGUAGCUA
rnacentral:rRNA from 1 species